rnacentral:rRNA from 1 species
CCUACGGGUGGCAGCAGUGGGGGAUAUUGGACAAUGGGGGGAACCCUGAUCCAGCGACGUCGCGUGAGUGAAGACGUAUCUCGGUAUGUAAAGCUCUGUUAGCAGGGAAGAAAGAAAUGACGGUACCUGACCAAGAAGCCUCGGCUAACUACGGGCCAGCAGCCGCUGUAAUACGUCGGGGGCAGGCGUUAUCCGGAAUUACUGGGUGUACAGGGUGCGUAGACGGUUAAGUAAGUCUGGAGGGAAAGGCCGGGGCCCAACCCCGGGACUGCUCUGGAAACUAUUGAACUUGAGUGCAGGAGAGGUAAGCGGAAUUCGUGGUGUAGCGGUGAAAUGCGUAGAUAUUAGGAGGAACACCAGUGGCGAAGGCGGCUUACUGGAGUGUAACUGACGUUGAGGCUCGAAAGCGUGGGGAGCGAACAGGAUUAGAUACCCGAGUAGUC